ACAGUUGUUGGUCGGACGAUGUUCUCUCUCUUUCCCAUUCCACGAUGUAAAGCGAAAAUUCCUGCUUUCACCUCCCUCUCUCUCUCUCUAGACUGAUAAAAUUUCCCAUUUUGUCGCAGUGAAGAUCUCCACUUCUCUUGGAAUCGGCUUAGUAGGUGUAGAUGCUGGGGUGGAAUAAUCAAGGCGGUUAAGCUUUGCCAGUUGAUUGUAAUUCAAUUCGUAUGCUUUGGACUUGGAAAUAUGUCAACUGGAACUGUGAGAAGGAUCUCACGUCAAGAUAUUCAACUGGUGCGAAGUCUUAUAGAGCGAUGCCUUCAGCUUGAUAUGAGCCGAAAAGAAGUUGUGGAAGCACUUUUGAAUCAUGAAAAAAUUGACCCCAGCUUCACAGAACAUGUUUGGCAGAAGCUUGAAGAGGAGAAUCAGGAAUUCUUUAAUGCAUAUUAUCUGAGACUGAUGGUGAAAAGCCAGAUUAUUGAAUUCAACCGGUUGCUUGAACAGCAAGCACGAAUGAUGCACCAAAUACACCCAUGUGCAGUGACUGCGUUAUCUAGUUCUAAUGGAUCCCACGUCCAACCUAUACACCAGAGCUGCUACGCACCAGAGCAUUCAGGACCUACUUUGAAACAAGAUGACAUAGACCACCCUGUUGGUGUCAGCUUAGGCAAUGCUUAUUCUAAUGGUACCCAACCUGUACUCUCAACUAUGCACACUGCUGUGGAUAUGUCUUCUCAUGCCAGGAAUGAUGUUGCACCUCAGAGCUCAAAUGUGGGUCUGUUUCAAGGAAUGAAUGGAGGGAUGAUCAAAGUAGAAACUGGAUAUUCAAACAGUUCUCCCUACAUGCUUGGAACAGAGAGCAAUGUCCUUGAUGCUCGUCAAUCAAUUGGGAACACGUCAGUUGCAUCUUUUGCUAGUGUUGAUUCCAACACACCAUCCUUCAAUGAAUCACUUCUUGAUCCGGAUCCCUCCUCAUUUGGGUUCAUUAAUCAAAUUACGAGGAAUUUUAGUCUCUCAGAUCUGACAGCGGACUUUUCCCAGGGUUCAGAUAUGCUAGAGACCUAUGCCAGAUGUCCGUUUUUACCAACAGAGGCUGAUAACAUCCUUGAUACUUGUGAGAAUGGAGAUCGUCUUGAUGGUAAAAGGUUGGACAAUGUAUCAGAAAGCUUGAGUUACGAAGAUUUCAGACACAAUUAGCUGUGGUAAAUCGAGAUUUUUUUCUCUGUGAUCGAGUGCCGAGGACAUGCGUUCAAUGCAGCAGAGAUGUACAUUAUGUAAUGCAUUUAUACAGAGAUUUGGAGCAUGGAAGCUGCUUAUUGAUGAACUUUUUAAGCAGUUGUAUAUGAUAUAAUGCACACGGGUUUUCUGUCAACCUGAUAAUUGAUGCAUCAACUAUCAUCAUUUUGUUGCUAUACUUGUGCAGAUGAUUGUACAUAGGAUUGUAGGGCUGGAGAGGCAUUCAGAUCAGCGCUGAAACUUACUGACCGAUUACCAUAGCAGGUUAACAUGGAGAAUGGGAAAUAAUAUAUCACAGUGAUUCUGAAAACAUUUUUAGCUUUCCAAGUGAUUGAAUUCUCUUAAACUAACCUUUAAUGUUUGAUGUUUUGCUUGAUGAUUGCAAUAUGGGAAGUGAUUGUGUAAUGAUCUGAUGAUUAUAUUGAGUGUAGAUUGUAAGACUGAAAUACAGAAUGUUGGUUGGGUUGAACUUUGUGAUUGACUGCCAUUGAAGGUGGCUUCACCAUAUUGUCUUUAAUUAAAGAAGCCUCUUGAGGUGAGUUAUAAGCAAA